rnacentral:rRNA from 1 species
GAUGAACGCUAGCGGCAGGCUUAAUACAUGCAAGUCGAGGGGUAGCAAGAUUGUAGCAAUACAAUUGUUGACGACCGGCAAACGGGUGCGGAACACGUACACAACCUUCCUACAAGUGGGGAAUAGCCCAGAGAAAUUUGGAUUAAUACCCCGUAACACAGCGAUGUGGCAUCACAUUGCUAUUAUAGCUUCGGCGCUUGUUGAUGGGUGUGCGGCUGAUUAGAUAGUUGGCGGGGUAACGGCCCACCAAGUCUACGAUCAGUAGCUGAUGUGAGAGCAUGAUCAGCCACACGGGCACUGGGACACGCGCCCGGCUCCUACGGGAGGCAGCAGUAAGGAAUAUUGGACAAUGGACGCAAGUCUGAUCCAGCCAUGCCGCGUGAAGGAUUAAGGUCCUCUGGAUUGUAAACUUCUUUUAUAAGGGACGAAAAAAGGUCUUUCUAGAUCGUCUGACGGUACCUUAUGAAUAAGCACCGGCUAACUCCGUGCCAGCCGCCGCUGUAACAC